UGCUGUACAGUUGAAGAUUUUUGCUCACUCUGAGUCCAGAGUGUUUUGUAAUUAUUAUUUUUCUUUUUCUAGGGCUGCUGCUGAAUUAUUUAGAUGUGGAAUGGUGUUCUGACAGCAAGAAUUAUGGUAAAGACUUGAGAUUUACAAGGAAAACUGGUGAUCCAGUUAUGGCUUGCAAGUCAUGGUCAGGGAAGGAAGAGGGGAGAAUUGAAGGCUUUAGGAGCAGAAAUCCAGGUCUGAUGGUGACCACAAGUUCCACAGUCAUGAGCCACCCUGGCCCUUGGCUCAGCCACCUGCACAGUGACACUGGAGUUGCUUCUCUUGUGCCUCGCAUUUGGGUUGGCCACCAAACAGCCCCCAGGCGCACACACAGUGCUGGAGGAGACCUCUCACAGCUGAACUUCCUGCACGUGCCCACUCUGCUGAGCACAUUCCAAAGUGUUUGCAUCAAGAUCUGCUUAGCACUCAGAUAGGAAUCUUGUUUGCAUAAUAAUUAUCUCUACUCGAUGUAAUUGCUGAAGUUUUGAAAACAGAAAUUUCUGAAUAUUUGUUUUGGUUAUUUCACCGUAAGCACAAUAAUAUCACCCUGCUGUGUUUUAAAUUUGUCUCCCUGCAAAAUGUAUUCUUAUAAUGGAAAUAAAGCGAGGUCCAUUUUUAUGCA
rnacentral:lncRNA from 1 species